UCCCUGGUGGCUCAGUGGAUGGGAAUCUGCCUGCAAUGCAGGGGAUACAGGUUUGAUCCCUGGUCUGGGAA
rnacentral:tRNA from 1 species